CUACGGGCGGCUGCAGUGAGGAAUAUUGCACAAUGGGGGGAACCCUGAUGCAGCAACGCCGCGUGGAGGAUGACGCAUUUCGGUGUGUAAACUCCUUUUAUAUGUCAAGAAAAUGACGGUAGCAUAUGAAUAAGCACCGGCUAACUCCGUGCCAGCAGCCGCGGUAAUACGGAGGGUGCAAGCGUUACUCGGAAUCACUGGGCGUAAAGGACGCGUAGGCGGGUUGGAAAGUCAGGUGUGAAAUCCUACAGCUUAACUGUAGAACUGCGCUUGAAACUUCUAAUCUAGAGUAUGGGAGGGGGAGAUAGAAUUAGUGGUGUAGGGGUAAAAUCCGUAGAUAUCACUAGGAAUACCUAAAGCGAAGGCGAUCUCCUGGAACAUUACUGACGCUAAGGCGUGAAAGCGUGGGGAGCAAACAGGAUUAGAUACCCGAGUAGUC
rnacentral:rRNA from 1 species